CCUACGGGUGGCAGCAGUGAGGAAUAUUGGUCAAUGGGCGGAAGCCUGAACCAGCCAAGUAGCGUGAAGGCUGACGGCCCUACGGGUUGUAAACUGCUUUUAUACGGGAAUAACGCGCCUUACGUGUAGGGCUUUGCAUGUACCUUAUGAAUAAGGACCGGCUAAUUCCGUGCCAGCAGCCGCGGUAAUACGGAAGGUCCGGGCGUUAUCCGGAUUUAUUGGGUUUAAAGGGAGCGUAGGCCGCAUGUCAAGCGUGUUGUGAAAUGUCCGGGCUCAACCCUGGCCUUGCAGCUCGAACUGGCGGGCUUGAGUCCGCGGAAAGCAGGCGGAAUGCGUGGUGUAGCGGUGACAUGCUUAGAUAUGACGAAGAACCCCGAUUGCGAAGGCAGCUUGCUGCAGCGGAACUGACGCUGAUGCUCGAAAGUGUGGGUAUCGAACAGGAUUAGAUACCCGUGUAGUC
rnacentral:rRNA from 1 species